AGUCGUCGUCUACUACAACACGACUAGUCUCCACGAUGACCAAUUCAUCGACGUGGAGCAGGCAAUGAUCCACCCGAAGUACAGGAACUUGGACUCGGGAUAUAACAUCGCGUUAUUAAAACUGUCCAGUCCUAUCAAGCAAUUUGACAGGUUUGUAAGGCCUGUUUGUCUCCCUAAACAAGGUGAACCUACCAAAGCGGGACAAAUGAUCAUAGCAGGAUUUGGUGACAUCGAUAUGAAAAAGAAACCAGCGGAUCGAAUAUUCUACUAUAGGGCGCAUGUUUUAUCCGACUCUAGUUGCGCCCAUGCAAUUUCAUUGCAGUGGAAGCGUAUUUCGUCAAGGGCUCGAAAGUUAUUCAUGUGCAGCAAGAACAGCCA
rnacentral:lncRNA from 1 species